GGCCGCGUGGCCUAAUGGCUAAGGCGCUAGAUUUCGGUCAACCGUAUCCCAAUUCUCUAGAGAUUCCAGGUUCGACUCCUGGCGUGGUCG
rnacentral:tRNA from 2 species